rnacentral:rRNA from 1 species
AUUGAACGCUGGCGGCAGGCCUAACACAUGCAAGCCGAACGGUAACAGGAAGCAGCUUGCUGCGUCGCUGACGAGUGGCGGACGGGUGAGUAAUGUCUGGGAAACUGCCCGAUGGAGGGGGAUAACUACUGGAAACGGUAGCUAAUACCGCAUAACGUCGCAAGACCAAAGAGGGGGACCUUCGGCCCUCUUGCCAUCGGAUGUGCCCAGAUGGGAUUAGCUUGUUGGUGAGGUAACGGCUCACGAAGGCGACGAUCCCUAGCUGGUCUGAGAGGAUGACCAGCCACACUGGAACUGAGACACGGUCCAGACUCCUACGGGAGGCAGCAGUGGGGAAUAUUGCACAAUGGGCGCAAGCCUGAUGCAGCCAUGCCGCGUGUAUGAAGAAGGCCUUCGGGUUGUAAAGUACUUUCAGCGGGGAGGAAGGUGUUGUGGUUAAUAACCGCAGCAAUUGACGUUACCCGCAGAAGAAACACCGGCUAACUCCGUGCCAGCAGCCGCAGUAA